rnacentral:rRNA from 1 species
UACGGGGGGGGCAAGCGCUGUUCGGAAUUACUGGGCGUAAAGGGCUCGUAGGCGGCCAACUAAGUCGGAUGUGAAAUCCCCAGGCUUAACCUGGGAACUGCAUCCGAUACUGGAUGGCUUGAAUCCGGGAGAGGGAUGCAGAAUUCCAGGUGUAGCGGUGAAAUGCGUAGAUAUCUGGAGGAAUACCGGUGGCGAAGGCGGCAUCCUGGACCGGCAUUGACGCUGAGGAGCGAAAGCUAGGGGAGCAAACGGG